rnacentral:rRNA from 1 species
UACAGAGGGUGCAAGCGUUAAUCGGAAUUACUGGGCGUAAAGCGCGCGUAGGUGGUUUGUUAAGUUGGAUGUGAAAUCCCCGGGCUCAACCUGGGAACUGCAUUCAAAACUGACUGACUAGAGUGUGGUAGAGGGUGGUGGAAUUUCCUGUGUAGCGGUGAAAUGCGUAGAUAUAGGAAGGAUCUCCAAAGGAG